UGGAAAACAUGUGUGGAAAGUAAGUAAAUAAGUGAUUUUCAUUCAAAUCUGAGAAACAAAACGAUGGGGAAGUGACCAUUCAGUUAAAAUCUACUAUGAAGAAGAUAACAAUGUCUAAAAACACAUGGUUGAAAGUAAAAUGUAAGUGUAACCUACUAAAUUCUGUGAACAAACACUGUGGGGAAUGCCCAAUUCAACAUAGAUUGUGUUUAACAUAGAGUUGUGGUACAAAACGUGAGGAAGCCAAGUAAGUAAGGGCUUUACCCUCAAAACAGAAAAAACACUGUGAGGAAGGUAUCAUUUAGUUAUCAUCUAGGAUAACGAAGUUAAUAAUGCUUGGAAUCACAUGGUGGGAAGCCAAAUGUAUGUGUAAUAUACCCAAUUCUGAGAAAGAAUAAAGUGGAGAAUGCCCCAGUCAACUGCGAUUCCCUGGAACUAUGAAAACAUGUGCACAAAGGAAUUAAGUGCUUCACACUCAACACUGAGAAACAACACUGUGCAGAAAAUAAGUCAUUCUGUUAAUAUCUAGUAUAAACAAAUAUUUAAUGUUGGAAAACACUUGCUGGGAAGGCAAAUAUGUGUGCAAUGCACUCAAUUCGAUGAAAGUACACCAUUCAACUGAGAUUCCUUGUAACUAAGUUAGUUCUGAUUUAAAACAUGUGUGGAGAUCAAGGAAAUAAGUACUUUAUACUCAACACUGAAAGACAACACUGUGAGGAAUGUAUAAUUCUGUUAACAUCUAGAAUAACAAAGUUAAUAAUAUUUGAAAACACACUCUGGGGAGUCAAAUGUAUGUGUAAUACCUUAAAUUCUGUGAAAGAACACAGUGGAGAAUGCACCAUUCAAGUGAGAUUCCCUGGAACUAAGUUCUGUUUGAAAACAUGUGCACAGACCAAGGAAGUAAGUACUUUAGACUUAAAACUGAGAAAAAAUGCUGUACAGAAGUCUUCAUUCUGUUAACAUCUAGGAUAACGAAGUUAAUAAUGUUUGAAAACACAUGCUGGGAUGUCAAAUGCAUGUGUAAUACACUCAAUGCUGUGAAAGAACACAGUGAAGAAUGUCCCAUUCAACUGAGAUUCCCCGGAACUGUUAGUUCUGAUUGAAAGCACGUGCAGAGACCAAGGAAAUAAGUGCUUUACACUCAACUCUGAGAAACAACACUCUGCGGAAUGUAUUAUUCUGUUAACAUCUAGGCUAACGGAGUUAAUAAUGUUUGAAAACACAUGCUUGGUGGUCAAAUGUAUGUGUAAUACACUCAAUUCUAAGAAAGAACACAGUAAAGAAUGCCCCAUUCAACUGAGAUUCCUUGGAACUGAGUUCCUUGUGUUUGAAAACAUGUGCUCAGAUCAAGGAAAUAAAUGGGUAACCCUCAUAGCCCUCGCGUCUCAAAGCUCUGCCUCAGCUCCCGCCUGUGCCCAAUGUGCUUCUCUCCCGACCAUGGGAUCUUCUCCACUCUGGAAGUGCUAUCCACGGGCACAGAGACACAUGGGGUGAUGCGGAUCCUGAGGUCCAGCAGAGGACCUGGAAAAGCAAGCUCUCCAAGAAACAGCUGUACCUGUGACAAAGGAGAAAACUGUAUCUGAUCGUUUGAACGCAAGAGAAGGACACGGUGGGGACUUGCCACACAGGGGUUCCUGGGUUGCUCAGUUGGUCAAGCAACCGACUUCA